rnacentral:tRNA from 1 species
UCCCUGUUGGCUCAGACAGUAAAGCAUCUGCCUGCAAUGCAGGAAGACCCGGGUUCGAUCCCUCGAUCGGAAG